GGAGGCCUAGAACAGAGAGAGCAUAUAUAUUAAAGCUAAUUCUAGUUGCUUUUCAAAUCUAAGCUAUACUUUUAUAUGUACUUGGAUAUUUUAAAAGCCUAAAUUAGCAUUCAAAGAACUGCUGACAAUUUUGGAUCCAGAUUUUGGUCUUAUUUGUCUUCGUGAAAAACUAAGAAUGUGCUGUGUGAGUUUCCAAAUUGGUGCUUCAUUCGGGGGAGUAAUGCAUCAUCUGGGCACUGCACUUUGAAGAACACCACCGGCUCAGCUCUGGGCUAUUUCCGUGGUGAAAUCACGAAUCCACUCCGAUUGAAGUCCAGCCCUGCAUCACUUUCAUCAGGCUGGGGUUUUAUACCAGUCUUGGAAGCACGCUAGAGCCUUUACAAGCAAAACUAAAUGGCUGAAGCAGAAAGGAAAAGUUGGAAGCUUACAACACAGAAAAUCAAAAGUUGCUGGUUGAUGAGUUUUUUUGUACUCUGUGUUGGGUCUUUACAUGCCAUGUUCUACUGCAAGGGUAAAAGUGAUGGAGCAGAGUGAGUAUCCAUCUCACAGAAGAAUCGACAAGCAGGAGUGUCGUUGCGAUACAAACAAACGGGAAGCCAUGACACGAGAAGAAAGCUUCCUGCCUCCUCCCCUGGCUGUGUUUGAAGAAAGAACCCCAACGUGGCAAAAUGAAGCAAAUUUCUCCCACUGGAAGUGUAGAAGUCUCACCCCUGUGCUGUUUGGAGCUGGGACCAGAUGUACAAUCUGCUGUGUGGAGAGCUAGUCCUGGUGGAAACCAGCUUCAUAAUGGGUGUUGUAUGAAUAAUAAAAGACUGUUGUAAAUGCACUGGAUGAAAUAUAAAUGUGCUGUAUUUUUACAGUUUCUUGAUCAAAAGAGCUUAUCCAUAACCUAUUGCAGAAAGGGUUUCAUUGAUUUAGUGGCUAAUACAUAGGAUUUAUAUAAAUGUUGAUACAUUUAGUUUGGUCUGAAGCCAAAGGUUUAUCCAAAAUGCAUUUCAAAACAGAACAAGCCCUCAGCUGUAGACAGAAAACAUAUGAUUUCCU